rnacentral:lncRNA from 1 species
ACUGAAAAAAAGGAUACACAAAAUAUGGUUUAUAUAUACCAUGGAAUACUAUUCAGCUACUAAAGACAAAGACAUCACGAAAUUUGCAGGCAAAUGGAUGGAGCUAGAAAAUAUCCUGAGUGAGGUAACCCAGACUCAGAAAGACACACAUGGAAUGUACUCACUUAUAAGUGGAUAUUAGCCAUAAGUACAAGGUAACCAUGCUACAAUCCACAGACCCAGAGAAGCAAAGUAACAAGGAGGGCCAAUGGGAGGAUGCUUGAUUCUCACUCAGAAAGGAAAAAAACCAACAUUGUAAGUGUGUGAAGGCAGGAACUGGGUGGGAGAGGUGGUGGCAAGGGAAACAGGGAAGGAGAAUUAGGUGUGGUAGAGCUGGGAGAGAGAACAGAAAUUAGUCUUAGUUAGGGUUUUACCACUGUGAUCAGACAACAUGACCAAGGCAACACUUUUUUUUAAUAUAUAUUUUUAUUUGUUAUUUUCUUCAUUUACAUUUCAAGUGCUAUCCCUUAAACACUCCCCCCACCCUGCUCCUCAACCCACCCACUCUCACUUCCUGGCCCUGGCAUUCCCCUGUACUGGGGCAUAUCAAGUUUGCAAGACCAAGGGCCUCUUCUCCCAAUGAUGGCCAACUAGGUCAUCUUCUGCUACAUAUGCAGCUAGAGACACGAGCUCUAGGGGUACUGGUUAGUUCAUAUUGUUGUUCCUCCUAUAGGGUUGCAGACCCCUUCAGCUCCUUGGGUACUUUCUCUAGCUCCUCCAUUGGGGGCCCUGUGUUCCAUCCAAUAGAUGACUGUGAGCAUCCACUUCUAUAUUUGCCAGGCACUGGCAUAGCCUCACAAGAGAGAGUUAUAUCAGGGUCCUGUCAGCAAAAUCUUGCUGGCAUAAGCAAUAGUGUCUGCAUUUGGUGGCUGAUCAUGGGAACUCUUAUAAGGACAUUUAAUUGGGGCUGGCUUACAGGUGCAGAGAUUCAGUCCAUUAUCAUCAAGGUGGGAGCAUGACAGUGUCCAGAAAGGCAUGGUGCAGGCUGAGCUGAGAGUCCUACAUCUUCAUCUGAAGGCUGCUAGCAGGAUAUUGGCUUCUAGGCUGGUAGGAUGAGGGUCUUAUAACCCACACAUACAGUGACACACCUUCUAACAGUGCCACUCCCUAAGCCAAACAUAUACAAACCAUCACUGGGAGAAUCACUGGGACUACCCAGAGACCCAGAACAGCAGUGGCUCUUUGGAAGUCUAUGGGGUAACCCUAGCUGAGACUCCUAGCAGAGGAGAAUGUGUAACCUAAAGAGGCCACCUCCUGUAACCAGGUGGGACUACCAGUGGAGGGAGGGGAUUCCUACCUACAAAACCUUUGGCCUAAAAUUAGUCCUGCCUACAAGCUGUGCAGGGGAAAAAAUGGAACAGAGAUUGGGGGAAUGGCCAAACAAUGACUGUCCUAACUUCAGACCCACCCCAUGGGAGAGAGACAUGUACUGCAUACAAUCUAAUUCAUAAUCUGUACAGGGUGUGGAUUGCCCAUGUUCUAUUCUCCUACUGCUUCAGAACUUGGAUCAGUAACUGCCUUGUAGGGUAUGAUGCAAACUUGUAGAAUUAAGAGAGACACAAUAAUGAUCAAAAAGUUAAUGUUAACUUGUCAUUGAGUUGUUAUAAAAUACUACUUUAUCACUUUACAUAGAUAACUUUAUUUGAUCUUUACAAAAAACUUGUGGUGUGAAUGUGACUAGGUUUGUUUUACAGAUCUGAUAGUUUUCAGAGAGUACUGUGGCAGAGAUGUGUUCUUAGGGUCUCUAUGGAGAUUUGUACCUGUGUCUCCCGACACCACACCCAUUUUGCCUAGGACUUUUAUUUAGAUAGCUAUCCUCUCAAAUUUCUGUUCAAUUUUAUUACUUGAUUUUAGCACUUGUUACCAAAAGCAACCUAAUACAAUUCUAUACAAUCAUUCUAUGAGCAGAGUGUAUACUUCAAAAUUUAGAACUACUCUAUAUCUGUUUAUAUCAGAUCCAAUUUUAUCUUUCUCAAAAUAAAAAUAGAAUUCAGUAGUUAGGGUUCAAUCUCAAGAAAUAAUAUUACCUUACCAUUUUAACUCUGAACAACCUCAGAAUCUGUGUGCUGAACAUCAUCAGAUGAGUCACAGGACAGAAUAAUGACCUUCAUAAUCCAUAUAUAUAGGGAAAUUGAAAUAUUUCUGUUUUUAGAUGGGUUCAAAGUUAUGUUUGAUUCAUUUUAUAGAUUAGUAAAUAUUUAGUCUUGAAAAAUCAUAGAAUGGAAAAGAAACAAUGUUAUCCAAGGGGCUUCAUGCCGUUUUAAGUCAUUGCUCUUUGCAGAUCGUUGUUUUGUUGAAUGUGCAAAUGCUUGUCAUCUCAUCAGGAAUAAAGUCAAGUUCAAGGUGAGUUAGAUGCUGCCAUGUUUGACAUCACAGGAAGUCACACACACAUAUACUUGAACUUUCUCUGUUUGAUUUGUACUUAUAAAAGGAAAUAGGUGCAGUUGAGAGGAAGGGUAAUAAAUAUUAGUGAAGAAUGGAAGUCUGAUGUAACAAUGAUGACUAAAGCAGAUGCCACUUGGCCAAGAGUCCUCUCAAUCCUUGUGUCUGUAUUGGACAGGAUUUCCAUAGAGGAACAGAACCAACAGUCACCUUGCGCCCACUGCCACCAUUGUGAGAGGUGGCCCAUACCAUGAUCUGCCAUCAUCCUCUGGAGAACCAGGGGGACUAGAAACAUAAUUGAGUUGCAGACUGAAGACAAGAAUGAGAGCAAAUGACUCCAUAAGUUAAUGCUGCACCAAGAGUUAAGCUUUAGGACUACUGACUCUAUUCUCUAUGGUAGGAAGAUGCAGAUAUCUCAAUUCAAACAGUUUGGAAAUGUAUCCAUAUUCCACCAUUUUAUUCUUUGUUCUCUCCUGCAUUGUUGCUCAAUCAGGUGACCAAGAUGCUAGACUCUUUUGAAAAGCUCUCACGGACACAUGAAAGUAAUAUUUAUGAAGAAUUUGAGUUUUCCUUACUUAUUACAGCUAAGAGGAAACACAGACACACACACACAUGCAUGUGUACCCAUCACAUUUGCUUCCUUGAAAACUGGCAUUUACAUUCAUCUCCUCAAACCAUAAUAGUCAGACAAAAACAACAAUAUUAUAAGUACGUGUAUCAUGAUCACUGCAUGUUUGGUGUUCUGCCAACAUCCUAUGACUUGAAUGCUUGGAUGUAAAAUUAACAACACUUGUGUGCCAACAGCACCAUGACAUCUUAUUUUGGAUGAUGUAAGCAUGUGCAAGAAAAGCAAGCAGAUGUGAAUAUACAAGUGUAUAAAUUGACAUAGAUAGCUUACAGAGUGAGUCUGUGAUAUCAAUUAGUUUUUAAUGCCCAAAUGUAGAACUUUUAUUAAUAUACAAAAGCAAUGGGAAAGUGAUAGCUUGUGGGCUCUUAGUGGACUCUAAGGACCUUGCCAAAAUACCUGAUGACUCUAGUUUAUUAUUCAGAAACCACAUGGUGGGAGAAAAGGACACUUACAUAACCUGUUCCCUGACCCUCUCUCUCUCUCUCUCUCUCUCUCUCUCACACACACACACACACACACACACGUUACAUGAUUCACAUGUGUGUACAUGUAAUCACACAAAUAAAUGCAUGUAAUAGUUAUUUAGAAAAGCUACCUCAGUAAACUGAUAGAAAAAGAAUCAAGUCAAUACAUUACUACAUAAUAAAAUUGUUUAAAGGUGUGCCUUUAUCCUGACUCAAAAUAUGUUUUUAUGUUUUAUGCAUACAUUUUAUCAAUUCAUUUUUCAGAAAAAUACAAAGAUUUAUUUUUAUUUUAUGAGUGUUUUGCCUGCAUGCAUGUAUGUAUAUCUGAGUGCAAAUACCUAGAGAGUCCAGAAGAGGGCAUCAGAACUCCUGGGACUGGAACUUCAGAUGGUUGUGAGCUGCAGUGCUCUU